UGGGGAAUAUUGCACAAUGGAGGGAACUCUGAUGCAGCGACGCCGCGUGAACGAAGAAGGCUUUCGAGUCGUCAAGUUCUUUUAUAUGGGAAGAUAAUGACGGUACCAUAAGAAAAAGCCCCCGCUAACUACGUGCCAGCAUCCGCGGUAAUACGUACGGGGCUAGCGUUGACCGGAAUCACUGGGCGUAAAGGGUUCGCAGGCGGAAAUGCAAGUCAGGUGUAAAAGGCAGUAGCUUAACUACUGUGAGCAUUUGAAACUGCAUAUCUUGAGAAGAGUAGAGGUAAGUGGAAUUUUUAGUGUAGCGGUGAAAUGCGUAGAUAUUAAAAAGAAUACCGGUGGCGAAGGCGACUUACUGGGCUCAUUCUGACGCUGAGGAACGAAAGCGUGGGUAGCAAACAGG
rnacentral:rRNA from 1 species